GAUGAACGCUGGCGGCGUGCCUAAUACAUGCCAGUCGAGCGAACGGACGCGAAGCUUGCACCUCUGAUGUUAGCGGCGGACGGGUGAGUAACAAGUGGAGAACAACCCUUUAGGACUGUGAUAACUUCUGGGAACCGGCGCUAAUACCGGAGUAUAUUUUGCACCGCAGAGAUCAAAAGUGAAAGACGGUCUUGCUGUCACUUAUAGAUGGAUCCGCGCUGCAUUAGCUAGUUGGUAAGGUAACGGCUUACCAAGGCAACGAUGCAUAGCCGACCUGAGAGGGUGAUCGGCCACACUGGAACUGAGACACGGUCCAGACUCCUACGGGAGGCAGCAGUAGGGAAUCUUCCGCAAUGGGCGAAAGCCUGACGGAGCAACGCCGCGUGAGUGAUGAAGGUCUUCGGAUCGUAAAACUCUGUUAUUAGGGAAGAACAUAUGUGGAAGUAACUGGGCACAUCUUGACGGUACCUAACCAGAAAGCCACGGCUAACUACGUG
rnacentral:rRNA from 1 species